rnacentral:lncRNA from 1 species
UGUCCCCAGAGCAGGAUGUGUCCCCUCGGUGUCCCCAUGAGUGCCACCCGUGCUCUCUGCCAUGGAGGCGGUGGCAGCUCGGUGGCUCUGCUGUCACCUACACGGCAGUGGCCCCAGUAGCGGGGGAAAUCCCCUCGACAUCGGGGAAACUGAGGCACGGCGACAGCUCCAGGAUGGGACAGCGACAGGGACAGCGCCACCUCCUCGCCACCCCUUUGCUGUCCGGUGUCCCCCACCCCCAGAGCGUUCGGUGGCUUCAGAGGCAAAGGAGGGGAAACUGAGGCAGCACCAGCGGAGCAGGCGGGGCUGGGAGUGUGGGGCAGGGGACAGAGGGGACAGAGGGGACACCCCGUUUGUCGCUGUCCCAGUUUGCCCAGUACGCCGAGAUCGUCAACUUCACCCUGGCCAAUGGCACCAGGCGCAGCGGGCAGGUCCUGGAGGUGAUGGGAACCAAAGCCAUCGUACAGGUGAGAGAGGGGACACGGGGACACGGGGACACGGGACACGGGGACAGGGACAUGGGGACAGGAGACACGGGAUAUGGGACAUGAGGACAGGAGACACGGGGACAGGGGGCACGGUAUAUGGGAUAUGGGACAUGGGAACACGGGAUAUGGGAUACGGGGAUAUGGGGACACGGGGACAGGUGACAUGGGGACAGGGGACACGGCCACAUGCGGGGGGCUGCACGGCCCAGGGCUCUGUCCCGGGUUCCUGUCCCGGGUUCCUGUCCCGGGUUCCUGUCCCGGGUUUCUGUCCCGGGUUUCUGUCCCGGGUUUCUGUCCCGGGUUCCUGUCCCGGGCUCCUGUCCCCGAGCUCUGUCCCCCUCCAGUGGUGGCUGUCGGGUUCGUGUCCCAGCGCUCUGAAGAGGCGGGACUGCUGUCCUGGGAUGGCCAGGAGUGUCCCGGGACAGGUGUUUGAGGGCACAUCUGGCAUCGAUGCCAAGGCCACAACGUGCGAGUUCACGGGGGACAUCCUGCGCACGCCGGUGUCCGAGGACAUGCUGGGUGAGGCACCGGAGUUUUGGGGGUUUUUGGGGGGUUUUUGGGGUUUUUGGGGUUCGGUUCUGGGGUUGAGAGCGUCCCUGGGUCACCUGGGAGGUGUGACAGUCACCUGAGCCCGGGUGUGCAGGGUCCCUCCAUCCCUCCCUGCGCGGUUAUCCCGGGAAAAACGCUUGGGAUGGGCUGGGAAAGGGUCCCAGGUGAGGUGGCACCGUGUCCUUGGGGGUGUCACCGCGUCCGUGGAGGUGUCACCGCGUUCCUGGAGGUGGCACCGUGUCCUUGGGGGUGUCACCGCGUCCUUGGGGGUGUCACCGCGUCCGUGGAGGUGUCACCGCGUUCCUGGAGGUGGCACCGUGUCCUUGGGGGUGUCACCACGUCCUUGGGGGUGUCACCCCAUCCCUGGAGGUGUCACCGCGUCCUUGGGGGUGUCACCGCGUCCUUGGGGGUGUCACCUCAUCCCUGGAAGUGUCACCGUGUCCUUGGGGGUGUCACCCCUUUCCUGAAGGUGUCACCCCAUCCCUGGCGGUGUCCCCCACCCCUGGCGGUGUCACCCCAUCCCUGGCGGUGUCACCCCAUCCCUGGAGGUGUCACCCAUCCCUGGAGGUGUCACCCCACCCCUGGAGGUGUCACCCCACCCCUGGCAGUGUCACCCCAUCCCUGGAGGUGUCACCCCACCCCUGGAGGUGUCACCCACCCCUGGCGGUGUCACCCACCCCUGGCAGUGUCCCAGGCCAGGCUGCACAGAGCUUGAAGCCACCUGGGACACUGAAAAGUGUCCCCAUGGCAGGGAGGUGACACGGAUGACACUGAAUGUCCCUUCCCACCCAAACCACUCUGGGAUCCGGCUGUGACCCCCCCCCGAGCCCCCCAAACCCCACUCGGGGUCACACCGGGGGUGGGGGUGGCCCUGUCCCUGUCGCUGUCCCCAU